rfam:Nicotiana attenuata strain TT scaffold03018, whole genome shotgun sequence.
UGGACAGAUUAUUGUAUUCAACUGUAUUCGACUGUAUUCACGGAGUGAAAUAGGGGACUACAUUGUUUUUAAAACGGAAAGUGAAUCAAUUAACAUAAUAGACUCCU